rnacentral:tRNA from 1 species
GGGUUUGUAGCUCAAUUGGCAGAGCAUCGGGCUUUUAACUCGCAGGUUAGGGGUUCGAGUCCCCUCGAACUCA